CCUACGGGAGGCAGCAGUCGAGAAUCAUUCACAAUGGGGGAAACCCUGAUGGUGCGACGCCGCGUGGGGGAAUGAAGGUCUUCGGAUUGUAAACCCCUGUCAUGUGGGAGCAAAUUAAAAAGAUAGUACCACAAGAGGAAGAGACGGCUAACUCUGUGCCAGCAGCCGCGGUAAUACAGAGGUCUCAAGCGUUGUUCGGAAUCACUGGGCGUAAAGCGUGCGUAGGCUGUUUCGUAAGUCGUGUGUGAAAGGCGCGGGCUCAAGCCGCGGACGGCACAUGAUACUGCGAGACUAGAGUAAGGGAGGGGGAACCGGAAUGCUCGGUGUAGCAGUGAAAUGCGUAGAUAUCGAGAGGAACACUCGUGGCGAAGGCGGGUUCCUGGACAUUAACUGACGCUGAGGCACGAAGGCCAGGGGAGCGAAAGGGAUUAGAUACCCUUGUAGUC
rnacentral:rRNA from 1 species